rnacentral:rRNA from 1 species
UACGGAGGGGGCCAGCGUUGUUCGGAAUCAUUGGGCGUAAAGGGCGCGUAGGCGGCUUUGUAAGUCCGUUGUGAAAUCCCUCGGCUCAACCGAGGAACUGCGACGGAUACUGCUUGGCUUGAGUCCCGGAGAGGGUAGCGGAAUUCCCAGUGUAGCGGUGAAAUGCGUAGAUAUCGAGAGGAACACCUGCGGCGAAGGCGGGUUGCUGGGCUGAUACUGACGCUGAGGCGCGAAAGCCAGGGGAGCGAACGGG